GAGGGUAUAGCUUAGUGGCAGAGUGAGUGCUUAGCAUGCAUGAGGUCCUGGGUUCAAUCCCCAGUACCUCCA
rfam:Camelus ferus unplaced genomic scaffold scaffold863, whole genome shotgun sequence.